UCAAGUUAUUAAGGGUGCAGGGCGGAUGCCUUGGCACUAGGAGCCGAUGAAGGACGUGAUAAGCUGCGAUAAGCUUCGGGGAGUUGCACGUAAACUUUGAUCCGAAGAUUUCCGAAUGAGGAAACUCACUUAGAGUAAUGUCUAAGUAUCAUUAAGUGAAUACAUAGCUUAAUGAGGGGAACUCAGGGAACUGAAACAUCUAAGUACCUGAAGGAAGAGAAAGAAAUUCGAUUCCGUAAGUAGCGGCGAGCGAACGCGGAUUAGCCCAAACCAAUAAAGUUUUCUUUAUUGGGGUUGCGGACAUAUCAUAACGAAGAGGUAUCGUAAUUGAAGAGGUUUGGAAAGACCCACCACAGAAGGUAAUAGUCCUGUAUGUUAAACGAGAAGACUUCAGAUAUGAUCCAGAGUACCACGGGACACGUGAAACCCUGUGGGAAGCAGGAGGGACCACCCUCCAAGGCUAAAUACUACCUAGUGACCGAUAGCGUAUAGUACCGUGAGGGAAAGGUGAAAAGAACCCCGGGAGGGGAGUGAAAUAGAACCUGAAACCCUGCACUUACAAGCUGUGGAAGCACAUUUCUUGUGUGACCGCGUACUUUUUGUAGAACGGGCCAACGAGUUACGUUAAGUAGCAAGGUUAAGCACUUAAGGUGCGGAGCCGUAGCGAAAGCGAGUUUUAACUGAGCGUUCAGUUACUUGACGUAGACCCGAAACCGGGCGACCUACCCAUGAGCAGGAUGAAGCGAAAGUAAAAUUUCGUGGAGGUCCGAACCCACGAGCGUUGAAAAGCUCGGGGAUGACUUGUGGGUAGCGGUGAAAUUCCAAUCGAGCCCGGAGAUAGCUGGUUCUCCCCGAAAUAGCUUUAGGGCUAGCCUCAAGGUGAGAGAUACGGAGGUAGAGCACUGAAUGUCCUAGGGGGUAUUGCACCUACCGAAGACUAUCAAACUCCGAAUGCCGUCAUCUUAUACUUGGGAGUCAGACUGUGGGUGAUAAGAUUCAUAGUCGAAAGGGCAACAGCCCAGAUCGUCAGCUAAGGUCCCUAAAUGUAAGUUAAGUGGUAAAGGAUGUGGGAUUGCACAGACAACCAGGAUGUUGGCUUAGAAGCAGCCACUCAUUCAAAGAGUGCGUAAUAGCUCACUGGUCGAGUGAUCCUGCGCCGAAGAUUUCCGGGGCUAAAACUUACUACCGAAGCUACGGCAUCAGUAAUGAUGGGUAGGGGAGCUUCCCAUACGGGUUGAAGCAUGACCGUAAGGACAUGUGGACAGUAUGGGAGUGAGAAUGUUGGCAUGAGUAGCGAGAUGUGGGUGAGAAUCCCACAGGCCGUAAACCCAAGGUUUCCAGGGGAAGGUUCGUCCGCCCUGGGUUAGUCGGGACCUAAGCUGAGGCCGAAAGGCGUAGGUGAUGGACAACAGGUUGAUAUUCCUGUACUACCGAUAACCGUUUGAGAGAAGGGAUGACACAGUAGGAUAAGCUAAGCACACUGUUGGUUAUGUGUGCCCAAGCAUUGAGGCGGUCAAAGUAGGCAAAUCCGCUUUGAUAAUGCUGGGAUGUGAUGGGGAGCGAAAUUUAGUAGCGAAGUAGCUGAUUUCACACUGUCAAGAAAAGUCUCUAUCGAGGUUAAAGGUACCCGUACCGCAAACCGACACAGGUGGGUGAGGAGAGUAUCCUAAGGCCAGCGAGAGAACUGUUGUUAAGGAACUCGGCAAAAUGACCCCGUAACUUAGGGAUAAGGGGUGCCACCAUCAGGUGGCCGCAGAGAAUAGGCCCAAGCGACUGUUUACCAAAAACAUAGGUUUCUGCUAAGUCGCAAGACGAUGUAUAGGAGCUGACGCCUGCCCGGUGCUGGAAGGUUAAGGGGAUCUGUUAGAGCAAUCGAAGCAGUGAACUUAAGCCCCAGUAAACGGCGGCCGUAACUAUAACGGUCCUAAGGUAGCGAAAUUCCUUGUCGGGUAAGUUCCGACCCGCACGAAAGGCGUAACGAUUUGGGCACUGUCUCAACAACAGACUCGGUGAAAUUGUAAUUCCGGUGAAGAUGCCGGAUACCUGCGACAGGACGGAAAGACCCCAUGGAGCUUUACUGUAGCUUGACAUUGGGUCUUGGUACUACAUGUACAGGAUAGGUGGGAGGCUUUGAAACCAGGACGCCAGUUUUGGCGGAGCCAUCCUUGGGAUACCACCCUUGUAGUACUGGGACUCUAACCAUAGGCCAUGAAUCUGGUCUUGGGACACUGUCAGGUGGGCAGUUUGACUGGGGCGGUCGCCUCCCAAAAGGUAACGGAGGCGCUCAAAGGUUCUCUCAGUACGGUCGGAAAUCGUACGUAGAGUGUAAAGGCAAAAGAGAGCUUGAUUGCAAGACAUACAGGUCGAGCAAGGAUGAAAAUCGGACUUAGUGAUCCGGUGGUUCUGCGUGGAAGGGCCAUCGCUCAACGGAUAAAAGCUACCCUGGGGAUAACAGGCUUAUCUCCCCCAAGAGUCCACAUCGACGGGGAGGUUUGGCACCUCGAUGUCGGCUCAUCACAUCCUGGGGCUGUAGUAGGUCCCAAGGGUUGGGCUGUUCGCCCAUUAAAGUGGUACGCGAGCUGGGUUCAGAACGUCGUGAGACAGUUCGGUCCCUAUCCGUCGCAGGCGUAGGAAAUUUGAGAAGACCUGUCCUUAGUACGAGAGGACCGGGAUGGACGUACCUCUGGUGUACCAGUUGUCCUGCCAAGGGCAUGGCUGGGUAGCUAUGUACGGAAUGGAUAAGCGCUGAAAGCAUCUAAGCGCGAAGCCAACUUCAAGAUAAGAUUUCCCACCGCAAGGGUAAGACCCCAGAAAGACUAUCUGGUUGAUAGGUCGAAGGUGUAAGUGCAGUAAUGUAUUUAGCUUAUCGAUACUAAUAGGUCGAGGACUUGACCAA
rnacentral:rRNA from 4 species